GUCUCGGUGGCUGAGUGGUAAAGCACUUGGCUUCCGAACCAACAGUCCAGGGUUCGAAUCCUGGUGAAGAUU
rnacentral:tRNA from 1 species